GACGAACGCUGGCGGCGUGCCUAACACAUGCAAGUCGAGCGGUAAGGCCUUUCGGGGUACACGAGCGGCGAACGGGUGAGUAACACGUGGGUGAUCUGCCCUGCACUUCGGGAUAAGCCUGGGAAACUGGGUCUAAUACCGGAUAUGACCUCCUAUCGCAUGGUGGGUGGUGGAAAGAUUUAUCGGUGCAGGAUGGGCCCGCGGCCUAUCAGCUUGUUGGUGGGGUAAUGGCCUACCAAGGCGACGACGGGUAGCCGACCUGAGAGGGUGACCGGCCACACUGGGACUGAGACACGGCCCAGACUCCUACGGGAGGCAGCAGUGGAGAAUAUUGCACAAUGGGCGAAAGCCUGAUGCAGCGACGCCGCGUGAGGGAUGACGGCCUUCGGGUUGUAAACCUCUUUCAGCAGGGACGAAGCGCAAGUGACGGCACCUGCAGAAGAAGCACCGGCUAACUACGUG
rnacentral:rRNA from 1 species